rnacentral:rRNA from 1 species
UUGAUAGGUCGGGUGUGUAAGCGCAGCGAUGCGUUGAGCUAACCGAUACUAAUGAACCGUGAGGCUUAACCUUACAACGCCGAAG